GCCCCGCAGCUCAGUCGGUAAAGCAUCAGACUUUUAAUCUGAGGGUCCAGGGUUCAAGUCCCUGCUCGGGCGGGUCGCU